AGUGAACGCUGGCGGUAGGCCUAACGCAUGCAAGUCGAACGGCAGCACAGUAAGAGCUUGCUCUUACGGGUGGCGAGUGGCGGACGGGUGAGGAAUACAUCGGAAUCUACUUUUUCGUGGGGGAUAACGUAGGGAAACUUACGCUAAUACCGCAUACGACCUACGGGUGAAAGCAGGGGAUCUUCGGACCUUGCGCGAUUGAAUGAGCCGAUGUCGGAUUAGCUAGUUGGCGGGGUAAAGGCCCACCAAGGCGACGAUCCGUAGCUGGUCUGAGAGGAUGAUCAGCCACACUGGAACUGAGACACGGUCCAGACUCCUACGGGAGGCAGCAGUGGGGAAUAUUGGACAAUGGGCGCAAGCCUGAUCCAGCCAUACCGCGUGGGUGAAGAGGGCCUUCGGGUUGUAAAGCCCUUUUGUUGGGAAAGAAAAGCAGCAGGUUAAUACCCCGCUGUUCUGACGGUACCCAAAGAAUAAGCACCGGCUAACUUCGUG
rnacentral:rRNA from 1 species